UACGUAGGGGGCAAGCGUUGUCCGGAAUUACUGGGCGUAAAGAGCUCGUAGGUGGUUUGUCGCGUUGUUCGUGAAAACUCACAACUCAAUUGUGGGCGUGCGGGCGAUACGGGCAGACUGGAGUACUGCAGGGGAGACUGGAAUUCCUGGUGUAGCGGUGGAAUGCGCAGAUAUCAGGAGGAACACCGGUGGCGAAGGCGGGUCUCUGGGCAGUAACUGACGCUGAGGAGCGAAAGCGUGGGGAGCAAACAGG
rnacentral:rRNA from 1 species